CGUAGGGAGGGCGGAACUGCGCAGCAUACCAUGCAGUCGAACGGGGAACCCAAGCUUGCUUGGUGGAUCACUGGCGAACGGGUGAGUAACACGUGAGCAACCUGCCCUGGACUCUGGGAUAAGCGCUGGAAACGGCGUCUAAUACUGGAUAUGAGCCCCUAUCGCAGGGUGGGGGUUGGAAAGAUUUUUUGGUCUGGGAUGGGCUCGCGGCCUAUCAGCUUGUUGGUGAGGUAAUGGCUCACCAAGGCGUCGACGGGUAGCCGGCCUGAGAGGGUGACCGGCCACACUGGGACUGAGACACGGCCCAGACUCCUACGGGAGGCAGCAGUGGGGAAUAUUGCACAAUGGGCGGAAGCCUGAUGCAGCAACGCCGCGUGAGGGAUGACGGCCUUCGGGUUGUAAACCUCUUUUAGCAGGGAAGAAGCGAGAGUGACGGUACCUGCAGAAAAAGCGCCGGCUAACUACGUGCCAGCAGCCGCGGUAAUACGUAGGGCGCAAGCGUUAUCCGGAAUUAUUGGGCGUAAAGAGCUCGUAGGCGGUUUGUCGCGUCUGCUGUGAAAUCCCGAGGCUCAACCUCGGGCCUGCAGUGGGUACGGGCAGACUAGAGUGCGGUAGGGGAGAUUGGAAUUCCUGGUGUAGCGGUGGAAUGCGCAGAUAUCAGGAGGAACACCGAUGGCGAAGGCAGAUCUCUGGGCCGUAACUGACGCUGAGGAGCGAAAGGGUGGGGAGCAAACAGGCUUAGAUACCCUGGUAGUCCACCCCGUAAACGUUGGGAACUAGUUGUGGGGACCAUUCCACGGUUUCCGUGACGCAGCUAACGCAUUAAGUUCCCCGCCUGGGGAGUACGGCCGCAAGGCUAAAACUCAAAGGAAUUGACGGGGACCCGCACAAGCGGCGGAGCAUGCGGAUUAAUUCGAUGCAACGCGAAGAACCUUACCAAGGCUUGACAUACACCAGAACACCGUAGAAAUACGGGACUCUUUGGACACUGGUGAACAGGUGGUGCAUGGUUGUCGUCAGCUCGUGUCGUGAGAUGUUGGGUUAAGUCCCGCAACGAGCGCAACCCUCGUUCUAUGUUGCCAGCACGUAAUGGUGGGAACUCAUGGGAUACUGCCGGGGUCAACUCGGAGGAAGGUGGGGAUGACGUCAAAUCAUCAUGCCCCUUAUGUCUUGGGCUUCACGCAUGCUACAAUGGCCGGUACAAAGGGCUGCAAUACCGUGAGGUGGAGCGAAUCCCAAAAAGCCGGUCCCAGUUCGGAUUGAGGUCUGCAACUCGACCUCAUGAAGUCGGAGUCGCUAGUAAUCGCAGAUCAGCAACGCUGCGGUGAAUACGUUCCCGGGUCUUGUACACACCGCCCGUCAAGUCAUGAAAGUCGGUAACACCUGAAGCCGGUGGCCUAACCCUUGUGG
rnacentral:rRNA from 1 species